AUGACCCCAGGUCAGUCGGGACUACCCGCUG
rnacentral:rRNA from 1 species